GCUUGUCUCAAAGAUUAAGCCAUGCAUGUCUUAGUGUAAAUAACUCUUAUGAAACUGCGAAUGGCUCAUUAAAUCAGUUAUCGUUUAUUUGAUGGUCCCUUACUACAUGGAUAACCGUAGUAAUUCUAGAGCUAAUACAUGCACAAAGGCCCGACUCACGAAGGGCUGUAUUUAUUAGAUUUAAAGCCGACAUCUUUUGGUGAUUCAUAAUAACUUUUCGAACCUCAUGCCUUUAUGGUGGAGGUGAUUCAUUCAAAUUUCUGCCCUAUCAGCUUUCGAUGGUAGGAUCUUGGCCUACCAUGGCUAUAACGGGUAACGGGGAAUUAGGGUUCGGUUCCGGAGAGGGAGCUUGAGAAAUGGCUACCACAUCUAAGGAAGGCAGCAGG
rnacentral:rRNA from 1 species